rnacentral:lncRNA from 1 species
AGAAACUCUGGCCUGUCUUCACGUGAAGAUCCUGUCCUCUAGGCUGAAGAGGGAAGGCCUGAGGCUUUGUGGAAGCUGAGGAGAAGAAGUCUGGCAGUGGCAGCCCCUGAGCUCACCUGAUGUCCCACUGUCUUCUUGUGCUCUUUGGCAGUCUGGCCAGGUCGGCCCUUGGUGGGCUUUACAGGAACUCGAGUGAGAGGAGUGCGCCCUGAGGAGGUGGCAGAGGUGGGACUGAUGGCCUUCUCAUCAUCUUGAAAUAGCUCUGGUAGCAUCUUAAACUGAGUCACAAACAGUACAAGAAAGUUAUACUCUAGACCCAGGAGUUGAGGCAACAUAGCUAUACUCCCUUCGUUGAGGAGAUAGAGAUAGGAGGAUCAUGAAUUCCAAGCCAGACUUAGCAAUAGAGUGACUUCAAGACUUCCAAUGGAGACGCUCACCCCAAAACCAAACCAAAA